rnacentral:rRNA from 1 species
AUUGAACGCUGGCGGCAGGCCUAACACAUGCAAGUCGAGCGACCGGCGGGCGAGUGAGUAAUGCCUGGGAAUUGCCCAGUCGAGGGGGAUAACAGUUGGAAACGACUGCUAAUACCGCAUACGAUUGGAUUGCCCAGGUGGGAUUAGCUAGUUGGUGAGGUAAUGGCUCACCAAGCCGACGCUCCCUAGCUGGGCUGAGCGGAUGAGCAGCCACACUGGAACUGAUACACGGUCCAGACGCCUACGGGAGGCAGCAGUGGGGAAUAUUGCAAAAUGGGGGAAAGCCUGAUGCAGCCAUGCCGCGUGUGUGAAGAAGGCCUUCGGGUUGUAAAGCACUUUCAGCGGGGAGGCGUUACUCGCAGAAGAAGCACCGGCUAACUCCGUGCCAGCAGCCGCGGUAAUAC